UUGACUAUCUACAAAAAUUUCGGGUUCGCUAUCAAAUGAAGAUUCUGAAUCAGAUAUUUGUUCGUUACCGUUUUGGUUGUCCGGCGAGAUGAAGUCUUCUUCAGGAGCUCGUGGUUGAUGAAACAUUAAGAAGUCCUCGUCGGGCAAACGCAAUUUAGCAGCUAUAGUUGAACCUUGUGCUUCCUCGGCAUCAAAAGAGUCAUCUGAGUCCUGAGAGACGUCGUGUGGAGUUUCGAUAAACGUUUCUAAAAUAAUAGAGGGAAAGGAUGGAAAAGGAACUGAUUCCUCAGCCCGCGUAUUUUUAGAAGUCAUUGACCUUGUCAUAGGUCGACUUUUAUUAAGCAAUGAAUUAGCUUUCUGUCGGGGUGUCUCAUCAUUAGAAUUUGAGUCUGGAUUGAAAGGUGGAGCAGUAAUAAGGCGACGACUCCUAGUAAUAGGUAACAAUGACAAGCGCCAUCUCAUAAGUCGUGAUGUAGGAUCCUUAACUCGAUGCAGCCAAGUCAAUGGUUGAUGAUCAGUCACUAAUACAAAUGUUCUGCCAUACAGCCGAAUUUAAGACUCUUGAUGCAUAUCGUAUAGGAAGAUCUUGGCCGAUCACACCUUGGCUGAGCACUCCUCCACUAGCAAAGUCUGAGGCAUCUGUCAAGGUUUGACAGAGGGCUGGCGAGUUUAGAGAACCCUGGAAUAAAACGUCUGUAAUAACCUGCAAGGCCGAGAAAUUGACGCACAUUUUUUUGGUUACGUGGCCUUGGAAAAUUUUUGACCGCCAGUUUUUGUGGGUCAGGCCUAACACCAUCUUCUUUAAUGAUGUGCCCAAGUGAGCUAGCAUACAACACUAUGUCAUCCAUAUAUACAAGUAGUUCAACGUUUUGAAGACCAGUUAAUACGUCCAUUAGCCUCUGGAAAGUGGCAGGCGCGUUUUUCAAUCCAAAUGGCAUUCGAGAAAAUUGAAAGUGUCCGAAUGGAGUUCAAAAGGCCGUCUUGUGAGCAUCCAUAGGAUCCAUUGGAAUCUGGUGAAAUCCGCUUGCAAGGUCAAGCAUCGAGAAGUAUUUAGCACCUCCGAGCUGGUCGAGUAUGUCGCUGAUAUUCGGUAGCGGGAACAAUCCACACCGCUGAGCAGUGUUUUCCGUUAUCUAGAUAAAAUUGUCUAGAUAAUCAUCUAGAUGAAGAAAUAGCUUUAUCUUAUUUUUA